GGGUUGUGAGGUUAAGCGACUAAGCGUACACGGUGGAUGCCCUGGCAGUCAGAGGCGAUGAAGGACGUGCUAAUCUGCGAUAAGCGUCGGUAAGGUGAUAUGAACCGUUAUAACCGGCGAUUUCCGAAUGGGGAAACCCAGUGUGUUUCGACACACUAUCAUUAACUGAAUCCAUAGGUUAAUGAGGCGAACCGGGGGAACUGAAACAUCUAAGUACCCCGAGGAAAAGAAAUCAACCGAGAUUCCCCCAGUAGCGGCGAGCGAACGGGGAGGAGCCCAGAGCCUGAAUCAGUGUGUGUGUUAGUGGAAGCGUCUGGAAAGGCGCGCGAUACAGGGUGACAGCCCCGUACACAAAAAUGCACAUACUGUGAGCUCGAUGAGUAGGGCGGGACACGUGGUAUCCUGUCUGAAUAUGGGGGGACCAUCCUCCAAGGCUAAAUACUCCUGACUGACCGAUAGUGAACCAGUACCGUGAGGGAAAGGCGAAAAGAACCCCGGCGAGGGGAGUGAAAAAGAACCUGAAACCGUGUACGUACAAGCAGUGGGAGCCUCUUUUAUGGGGUGACUGCGUACCUUUUGUAUAAUGGGUCAGCGACUUAUAUUCUGUAGCAAGGUUAACCGAAUAGGGGAGCCGAAGGGAAACCGAGUCUUAACUGGGCGUUAAGUUGCAGGGUAUAGACCCGAAACCCGGUGAUCUAGCCAUGGGCAGGUUGAAGGUUGGGUAACACUAACUGGAGGACCGAACCGACUAAUGUUGAAAAAUUAGCGGAUGACUUGUGGCUGGGGGUGAAAGGCCAAUCAAACCGGGAGAUAGCUGGUUCUCCCCGAAAGCUAUUUAGGUAGCGCCUCGUGAAUUCAUCUCCGGGGGUAGAGCACUGUUUCGGCAAGGGGGUCAUCCCGACUUACCAACCCGAUGCAAACUGCGAAUACCGGAGAAUGUUAUCACGGGAGACACACGGCGGGUGCUAACGUCCGUCGUGAAGAGGGAAACAACCCAGACCGCCAGCUAAGGUCCCAAAGUCAUGGUUAAGUGGGAAACGAUGUGGGAAGGCCCAGACAGCCAGGAUGUUGGCUUAGAAGCAGCCAUCAUUUAAAGAAAGCGUAAUAGCUCACUGGUCGAGUCGGCCUGCGCGGAAGAUGUAACGGGGCUAAACCAUGCACCGAAGCUGCGGCAGCGACACUGUGUGUUGUUGGGUAGGGGAGCGUUCUGUAAGCCUGUGAAGGUGUGCUGUGAGGCAUGCUGGAGGUAUCAGAAGUGCGAAUGCUGACAUAAGUAACGAUAAAGCGGGUGAAAAGCCCGCUCGCCGGAAGACCAAGGGUUCCUGUCCAACGUUAAUCGGGGCAGGGUGAGUCGACCCCUAAGGCGAGGCCGAAAGGCGUAGUCGAUGGGAAACAGGUUAAUAUUCCUGUACUUGGUGUUACUGCGAAGGGGGGACGGAGAAGGCUAUGUUGGCCGGGCGACGGUUGUCCCGGUUUAAGCGUGUAGGCUGGUUUUCCAGGCAAAUCCGGAAAAUCAAGGCUGAGGCGUGAUGACGAGGCACUACGGUGCUGAAGCAACAAAUGCCCUGCUUCCAGGAAAAGCCUCUAAGCAUCAGGUAACAUCAAAUCGUACCCCAAACCGACACAGGUGGUCAGGUAGAGAAUACCAAGGCGCUUGAGAGAACUCGGGUGAAGGAACUAGGCAAAAUGGUGCCGUAACUUCGGGAGAAGGCACGCUGAUAUGUAGGUGAAGUCCCUCGCGGAUGGAGCUGAAAUCAGUCGAAGAUACCAGCUGGCUGCAACUGUUUAUUAAAAACACAGCACUGUGCAAACACGAAAGUGGACGUAUACGGUGUGACGCCUGCCCGGUGCCGGAAGGUUAAUUGAUGGGGUCAGCGCAAGCGAAGCUCUUGAUCGAAGCCCCGGUAAACGGCGGCCGUAACUAUAACGGUCCUAAGGUAGCGAAAUUCCUUGUCGGGUAAGUUCCGACCUGCACGAAUGGCGUAAUGAUGGCCAGGCUGUCUCCACCCGAGACUCAGUGAAAUUGAACUCGCUGUGAAGAUGCAGUGUACCCGCGGCAAGACGGAAAGACCCCGUGAACCUUUACUAUAGCUUGACACUGAACAUUGAGCCUUGAUGUGUAGGAUAGGUGGGAGGCUUUGAAGUGUGGACGCCAGUCUGCAUGGAGCCGACCUUGAAAUACCACCCUUUAAUGUUUGAUGUUCUAACGUGGACCCGUGAUCCGGGUUGCGGACAGUGUCUGGUGGGUAGUUUGACUGGGGCGGUCUCCUCCUAAAGAGUAACGGAGGAGCACGAAGGUUGGCUAAUCCUGGUCGGACAUCAGGAGGUUAGUGCAAUGGCAUAAGCCAGCUUGACUGCGAGCGUGACGGCGCGAGCAGGUGCGAAAGCAGGUCAUAGUGAUCCGGUGGUUCUGAAUGGAAGGGCCAUCGCUCAACGGAUAAAAGGUACUCCGGGGAUAACAGGCUGAUACCGCCCAAGAGUUCAUAUCGACGGCGGUGUUUGGCACCUCGAUGUCGGCUCAUCACAUCCUGGGGCUGAAGUAGGUCCCAAGGGUAUGGCUGUUCGCCAUUUAAAGUGGUACGCGAGCUGGGUUUAGAACGUCGUGAGACAGUUCGGUCCCUAUCUGCCGUGGGCGCUGGAGAACUGAGGGGGGCUGCUCCUAGUACGAGAGGACCGGAGUGGACGCAUCACUGGUGUUCGGGUUGUCAUGCCAAUGGCACUGCCCGGUAGCUAAAUGCGGAAGAGAUAAGUGCUGAAAGCAUCUAAGCACGAAACUUGCCCCGAGAUGAGUUCUCCCUGACCCUUUAAGGGUCCUGAAGGAACGUUGAAGACGACGACGUUGAUAGGCCGGGUGUGUAAGCGCAGCGAUGCGUUGAGCUAACCGGUACUAAUGAACCGUGAGGCUUAACCUUACAACGCCGAAGGUGUUU
rnacentral:rRNA from 3 species